GGGAGCUGCUGGAAGGCUCUGUCCCAAUGCCUGACUGCCGCCUGCCUCGGAGGCAAAGGCUUGUCGCAUUUCAGGAUCACAGAGGAACGGAGGCAGGACCCUACCUCUCUGCUUCCUUUUCCAGCACACCCCGCCCGGGAGCUGCUUCAGCAGGUGCCAGACAGGUGUCAUUACCAACCGAGAUGGCGGAAGAAGGGACCUCCGGGCGGGAUUGGAAGCUGCCCAAGAUUACAGCCUGCUGAUGGCCGUGCCGGGCCACAGGAGCAUAAGCGGCUGCAUGAGCAUCAUCAAAGACUCAUUGCCGCUCUGGCCAGAAACCACAAGGAUCCCACUGUACGGAUGGACAAAUUGAGGCCCAGUGAAGGUAAAGGACUUGGUGAAAUUCACCGGUGCAACGUGGCGGAACCAGACCUAGAACCAGCUUUCCGGACUUCUGGACGAGGACGUUAGUGAGGUCGUGGUUUCCGGAUUUUGUUUAAGCUAGCAUCUUACCCAGGCAGAAACUAACUACUGAAGCAGAUUUUCCAGUUGAGGGGGGCGGGGCCCAGCCCGGACGCUGGGGCCUCCCCACCACCCCGAAGAUGGCUUGAAAACCAACAUCACACCCACCUCUACCCCUACUCUAGAGUUUUCUCUGAGGACUUAGGAGACCAAAUCAGG
rnacentral:lncRNA from 1 species